AUGCAUAAUAAGAUGCUAUGUGGUGUAGUGAAAGGAUUGCCUCCCUGUAGUAGUGCCCCACAGACCCAAGGGAAAAGGAAAGUAUACAAAACACUUUUACUAGCCAUGGUUCCUGCUCUGGUAUCUCUUGUUCUUGUUGCCGCAAUAUUGAUCUUUAGACAUGGAAGGAAGAAAUCCAAGGCAAUUAACACCGAUAAAGUAGAAGAACAAAAAGUCUUCUCUAUUUGGAGUUUUGAUGGGGCAAACGUGUUCAAGCAAAUCACUGAAGCAACUGACAAUUUUAGCGAGGUACAUUGCAUAGGAACCGGGGGAUAUGGAUCCGUCUAUAAAGCUAUACUUGCAACAAGCGAAAUAUUUGCAGUGAAGAAGAUACACAUGAUAGAAGAUGAGUGUUGCAUUAACGAGUCAGUUUUCAAUCGUGAAAUCAAUGCAUUGGUGCAGAUUCGGCAUCGAAACAUCGUAAAACUAUUUGGGUAUUGUUCCUGCAGCCAAGGCAGGUUUCUUAUAUAUGAAUAUAUGGGGAGAGGAGACUUGGCAGAAACACUUAGAACCAAUGUAAGGGCAAUUGAAUUGGGCUGGACAAGGCGGAUACAUAUAGUUUUGGACGUGGUUCAAGCGUUGUCAUACAUGCAUCAUGAUUGUUCGUCACCAAUAGUCCACAGAGAUAUAACAAGCAGCAACAUUUUGCUAGGUCUUGAAUUUAGAGCUUUCAUCUCUGACUUCGGUACGGCUAAAGUUCUCAGUAUUCAUGGUCAGAAUCACACAAGGAUUGCCGGGACAAAAGGCUAUCUUGCUCCAGAGCUAGCAUAUACAGAGAAUGUGACGGAGAAAUGCGAUGUAUAUAGCUUCGGGGUGCUUGUUCUGGAGCUAUUUAUGGGAUUCCAUCCUGGCGAUUUGCUGUCAUCCCUCUCGCUGACAACCAAGAGAAAUGUACGCCUCAGCGGUCUGUUGGACUCUAGGCUCGAGCUCCCAGGUGCUGAAACCGCUGGAGAAAUAUACAAUGUAUUUAGUGUUGCCCUAAAGUGCAUGGAGCCUAACCCAUCAUGCAGACCAACGGCACGAUGUGCCACUGAUGAGCUAUCUGCUAUCACUAAAACAUGUGAAGAUCAUGUUGAUUAUCUACAAGCUAAUCUCACCAUUCCGGUACAGUAG
rnacentral:rRNA from 1 species